AGUGAACGCUGGCGGUAGGCCUAACACAUGCAAGUCGAACGGCAGCACAGUAAGAGCUUGCUCUUACGGGUGGCGAGUGGCGGACGGGUGAGGAAUACAUCGGAAUCUACUUUUUCGUGGGGGAUAACGUAGGGAAACUUACGCUAAUACCGCAUACGACCUACGGGUGAAAGCAGGGGAUCUUCGGACCUUGCGCGAUUGAAUGAGCCGAUGUCGGAUUAGCUAGUUGGCGGGGUAAAGGCCCACCAAGGCGACGAUCCGUAGCUGGUCUGAGAGGAUGAUCAGCCACACUGGAACUGAGACACGGUCCAGACUCCUACGGGAGGCAGCAGUGGGGAAUAUUGGACAAUGGGCGCAAGCCUGAUCCAGCCAUACCGCGUGAGUGAAGAAGGCCUUCGGGUUGUAAAGCCCUGUUGUUGGGAAAGAAAAGAAGCAGGUUAAUACCCCGCUGUUCUGACGGUACCCAAAGAAUAAGCACCGGCUAACUUCGUG
rnacentral:rRNA from 1 species